rnacentral:lncRNA from 1 species
CCACUGAUCCAGUGUAAGCCACUGAGGAGGAUCAAGCUGAACAGAGACAUGGGGGGGGAGACGAGGCAGCAAUGAGAUCCCUCCUCAGACCGAGUGUCCUCAGGUCCAGAGAAGGACAAUGACCUCUUCAGACCGACCGGCUCCUACUGGACUUUCAGAAGGAGACAGGCCGAGCAGUACCACGGAAGGAGCUGGGAAGACGGAGCGAUCGGCAUCCACCGAGAAAGGAGUCUCCAGAGAGAGAAGUGCUGGAGACAGACCAUCAUUCUCAGACAGAGACAGGGAAGCAGACAGAAGUUUUGGAUCAGAAAGAGAAAGGGACCGAGGUUUAGGAUCCGAUCAGAGAAGAGACCGAGGUCAGGGGUCCGACAGAGGAAGAGACCGAGUUUCUGCUCCAAGUAAUCAGAAGGGAGCAGACAGAGACACUGACGACAGGGUGGAGAAGUCGGUUAAGAGUGAACAGAAGAGCUCCAGUGGAGGACGCAGAUCUGUGUCUCUGGAUAAAAUGACCAUCGGAGAGAGGUCUGUCUUCACCAAGAGACAGACUGACCAUCAGGAAAAACCAAGUGGAUCUUCUAAGGACAGGGGAGAAGGGUCUGAAAGAGCGACUAAAUCUGACAGGAGUGUGUCCAAGGACAGAACAGAAAGAAUGAUCCCCUCUGGAGGGAAGCCAGCUGCUGCUCACAGAGAAGGAGUGAAACAAGGUGAAGAGUCUACAGUAAGAAGCAAACCUAGAAUCAGCCGAAAGGCCCUGACAAGCCACAACAGGGAGCUCCAGCAGGUAGGCUUUGUUUUGUUUCAUUUAUUAUUUUAUUUGACAGGGACUGUGCAGAGAGUUAAGGUGUAAAUGAGCAAGAGUUAGUCAACAGUGCUAAUUACCUCCGCCAAGUAGGUUAUGUUUUUGUCAGCGUUGGUUUGUCUGUCUGUCUGUGUGCAAGAUAACUGAAAAAAGUUCUGACUGACUGAUCUCUCUAAGUGCUUUUCUAGUUUACAUCUGUUGUCUCUGGCAACAUCAAAAGUCACAAAUUAUCAAAAUCAUAUACAGUUGGAAUAGGGAUGCAAAUGAUCAGUUAAUCGAUUAAUCAUUAUUGGGUGACUUUAUCGAUCGCUUAACGAUUAAUUGAUAAGCAUCAAUUUUCCCAAGAUCCUGAAAUUCUUUUUCGAUCAGGUCUAUAAGAGUAAAAGCUAAAUAUUGUUUAUAUACUUCAUGAAAAAAAGCAUGUCAUAUUCCUUAAUGACUGAUUUAUUGAACCACUGGACUACAGUACAGGCAAUGACAUUUAUGGAGUAGAACUAAAUACAUUCUGCAGAGAAUUCAAUAAAAUACAGGGAUCUGAAGAGGGGCAGUUUAGAAGAAAUGGGCAUUUCUGACUUUGCAUCACAGACAUGAUGGAGCUUGAUUUCAGCGCAAAUACUGCCGUCGAGCAAAUUCUUAUCGGC